rnacentral:rRNA from 1 species
CCCUUAGAUGUUCUGGGCCGCACGCGUGCUACACUGAGUGUCUGAGAUACGAGUCUGCCUGGUCCGGCAAGGUCUAGGUAAUCGCUAAAAGACACAUCAUGCUUGGGAUAGAUUAUUGCAAAUAUUAAUCUUGAACGAGGAAUUCCUAGUAAGCGCAAGUCAACAGCUUGCGUUGAUUACGUCCCUGCCCUUUGUACACACCGCCCGUCGCUACUACUGAUUGGAUGUUUAAGCGAGGUUCUCGAACUGCUAGCGACUUAGCUUCGGUGAGGUCGCAGUGUGGGAAGUGAACCUAGCUUUGGUGUCUAGAGGAAGUAAAAGUCGUAACA